rnacentral:rRNA from 1 species
AAUAGAUACCCUGGUAGUCCACGCCGUAAACGAUGAGUGCUAAGUGUUAGAGGGUUUCCGCCCUUUAGUGCUGCAGCUAACGCAUUAAGCACUCCGCCUGGGGAGUACGGUCGCAAGACUGAAACUCAAAGGAAUUGACGGGGGCCCGCACAAGCGGUGGAGCAUGUGGUUUAAUUCGAAGCAACGCGAAGAACCUUACCAGGUCUUGACAUCCUCUGACAACUCUAGAGAUAGAGCGUUCCCCUUCGGGGGACAGAGUGACAGGUGGUGCAUGGUUGUCGUCAGCUCGUGUCGUGAGAUGUUGGGUUAAGUCCCGCAACGAGCGCGAACCCUUGAUCUUAGUUGCCAGCAUUUAGUUGGGCACUCUAAGGUGACUGCCGGUGACAAACCGGAGGAAGGUGGGGAUGACGUCAAAUCAUCAUGCCCCUUAUGACCUGGGCUACACACGUGCUACAAUGGAUGGUACAAAGGGCUGCAAGACCGCGAGGUCAAGCCAAUCCCAUAAAACCAUUCUCAGUUCGGAUUGU